AAGGGUAUAGCUCAGUGGUAGAGCACGUGCUUAGUAUGCAAGAGGCCCUGGAUUCAAUCCUCAGUACCUCCU
rnacentral:tRNA from 1 species